ACGAACGCUGGCGGCGUGCUUUAAAACAUGCAAGUCGAACGAGAGCUUCGGCUCUAGUGGCAAAACGGCCUGGAGUAACGCGUGGGUGACCUACCUGGAAGUGGGGAAAUAACUGCCCGAAAGGGUGGCUAAUACCGCAUGUGAUGGCGAGUGUAGAGCUCGUCAUGAAAGUCUUCGGACGCUUUCAAGAGGGGCCCGCGUUCGAUUAGCUAGUUGGUGGGGUAACGGCCUACCAAGGCGGACCGAUCGAUAGCUGGUUCUAAGAGGAUGAUCAGCCAGACUGGGACUGCGACACGGCCCAGACUCCUACGGGAGGCAGCAGUUAGGAAUUUUGGGCAAUGGGCGAAAGCCUGACCCAGCAACCGCCGCGUGGGUGAUGAAGGCCUUCGGGUCGUAAAAGCCCUUUUUCAGGGGAAGAUGAUGACGGUACCCUGAGAAUAAGCCCCCGGGCUAACUACGUGCCAGCAGCCGCGGUAAUACGUAGGGGGGCAAGCGUUCUGUCCGGAUUUAUUGGGCGUAAAAAGCGCGCGUAGGCGGCGCGGUAUGUCGUGCGUGAAAUCUCCCGGCUUAAACUGGGAGGGGGCCGUGCGAAACUGCCGGGGCUUGAGGGUCGGAAGGGGGAAAAGUGGAAUUCCGGGUUGUAGUGGUGGAAAUACGUAGAUAUCCGGAGGAACACCAGCGGCGAAGGCGGCUUUCUGGUCCGAUACUGACGCUGAGGCGCGAAAAAGCGUGGGGGAGCGAUCCGGAUUAGAUAACCCGGGUAGUCCACGCCCGUAAACGAUGAAGUACUAGGUGUCGGGGGGGUGGUAUCGACCCCCUCGGUGCCGUCGCUAACGCAUUAAAGUACUAGCCGCCUGGGGACUACGGCCCGCAAGGCCUUAAAACUCAAAGGAAAUUGAACGGGGGGGCCCGCACAAGCAGCGGAGCGUGUGGUUUUAAUUCGAUGCAACGCGAAGAACCUUACCUGGCUCGACAUAUAGGUGGUAGGGAUCCGAAAAGGUGACCGACCCGCAAGGGGAGCCUAUACAGGUGCUGCAUGGCUGUCGUCAAGCUCGUGCCGUGAGGUGUUGGGUUAAGUCCCGCAACGAGCGCAACCCCUCGUCGCUAGUUACCAUGUCUAGCGAGACUGCCGGGUCUAAACUCGGGAGGAAGGCGGGGGGAUUGAACGUCAAGUCAGCAUGGCCCUUACGUCCCAGGGCUACACACACGCUACAAUGGCCGGUACAAAAAGCGCUGCAAUGGGGUGACCCGGAGCCAAAUUCGCAUCAAAGCCGGUCUCAGUUGGGAUUUGCAGGCUGCAACUCGCCUGCAUGAAACGCGGAAGUGUGCUAGUAACCGCAGGUCAGCACACUGCGGUGAAUACGUUUCCCGGGCCUUGUACACACCGCCCGUCACGUCAUGAAAGUUGGAAACGCCUGAAGCCGGUGGCCUAACCGCAAAGGAGGGAGGCCGUCGAGGGUGGAGCCAGCGAUUGGGACG
rnacentral:rRNA from 1 species